rnacentral:rRNA from 2 species
AGAGUUUGAUCAUGGCUCAGAUUGAACGCUGGCGGCAGGCCUAACACAUGCAAGUCGAGCGGUAGCACAGAGAGCUUGCUCUCGGGUGACGAGCGGCGGACGGGUGAGUAAUGUCUGGGAAACUGCCUGAUGGAGGGGGAUAACUACUGGAAACGGUAGCUAAUACCGCAUAACGUCGCAAGACCAAAGUGGGGGACCUUCGGGCCUCAUGCCAUCAGAUGUGCCCAGAUGGGAUUAGCUAGUAGGUGGGGUAACGGCUCACCUAGGCGACGAUCCCUAGCUGGUCUGAGAGGAUGACCAGCCACACUGGAACUGAGACACGGUCCAGACUCCUACGGGAGGCAGCAGUGGGGAAUAUUGCACAAUGGGCGCAAGCCUGAUGCAGCCAUGCCGCGUGUGUGAAGAAGGCCUUCGGGUUGUAAAGCACUUUCAGCGGGGAGGAAGGCGNUCGAUUGACGUUACCCGCAGAAGAAGCACCGGCUAACUCCGUGCCAGCAGCCGCGGUAAUACGGAGGGUGCAAGCGUUAAUCGGAAUUACUGGGCGUAAAGCGCACGCAGGCGGUCUGUCAAGUCGGAUGUGAAAUCCCCGGGCUCAACCUGGGAACUGCAUUCGAAACUGGCAGGCUAGAGUCUUGUAGAGGGGGGUAGAAUUCCAGGUGUAGCGGUGAAAUGCGUAGAGAUCUGGAGGAAUACCGGUGGCGAAGGCGGCCCCCUGGACAAAGACUGACGCUCAGGUGCGAAAGCGUGGGGAGCAAACAGGAUUAGAUACCCUGGUAGUCCACGCCGUAAACGAUGUCGAUUUGGAGGUUGUGCCCUUGAGGCGUGGCUUCCGGAGCUAACGCGUUAAAUCGACCGCCUGGGGAGUACGGCCGCAAGGUUAAAACUCAAAUGAAUUGACGGGGGCCCGCACAAGCGGUGGAGCAUGUGGUUUAAUUCGAUGCAACGCGAAGAACCUUACCUGGUCUUGACAUCCACAGAACUUAGCAGAGAUGCUUUGGUGCCUUCGGGAACUGUGAGACAGGUGCUGCAUGGCUGUCGUCAGCUCGUGUUGUGAAAUGUUGGGUUAAGUCCCGCAACGAGCGCAACCCUUAUCCUUUGUUGCCAGCGGUUAGGCCGGGAACUCAAAGGAGACUGCCAGUGAUAAACUGGAGGAAGGUGGGGAUGACGUCAAGUCAUCAUGGCCCUUACGACCAGGGCUACACACGUGCUACAAUGGCAUAUACAAAGAGAAGCGACCUCGCGAGAGCAAGCGGACCUCAUAAAGUAUGUCGUAGUCCGGAUUGGAGUCUGCAACUCGACUCCAUGAAGUCGGAAUCGCUAGUAAUCGUAGAUCAGAAUGCUACGGUGAAUACGUUCCCGGGCCUUGUACACACCGCCCGUCACACCAUGGGAGUGGGUUGCAAAAGAAGUAGGUAGCUUAACCUUCGGGAGGGCGCUUACCACUUUGUGAUUCAUGACUGGGGUGAAGUCGUAACAAGGUAACCGUAGGGGAACCUGCGGUUGGAUCACCU